rnacentral:rRNA from 1 species
GACAGAGGAUGCAAGCGUUAUCCGGAAUGAUUGGGCGUAAAGCGUCUGUAGGUGGCUUUUCAAGUCCGCCGUCAAAUCCCAGGGCUCAACCCUGGACAGGCGGUGGAAACUACCAAGCUGGAGUACGGCAGGGGAGACUGGAAUUCCUGGUGUAGCGGUGGAAUGCGCAGAUAUCAGGAGGAACACCGGUGGCGAAGGCGGGUCUCUGGGCCGUUACUGACGCUGAGGAGCGAAAGCGUGGGGAGCGAACUGG